UACAGAGGGUGCGAGCGUUAAUCGGAGUUACUGGGCGUAAAGCGUGCGCAGGCGGUUAUGUAAGACAGAUGUGAAAUGCCCGGGCUUAACCUGGGAACUGCAUUUGUGACUGCAUGGCUAGAGUUUGGCAGAGGGGGGUGGAAUUCCACGUGUAGCAGUGAAAUGCGUAGAUAUGUGGAGGAACACCGAUGGCGAAGGCAGCCCCCUGGGUCAAGACUGACGCUCAUGCACGAAAGCGUGGGGAGCAAACAGG
rnacentral:rRNA from 1 species